AUGAUCUUCUCCAAGCUUUCCUGUCUUCUCAUGAUGUGGCCAAAAUACUUCAUCUUUGCCUCCAAUAUCCUUCUCUCCAGUGAGCAGCCAUUGGGCAUUUUUUCCUGGAGGAUGGACUGGUUGGAUCUUCUUGCCAAGGAUUUUCCUCCAGCAGCAGAGUUCAAAAGCGUCUCUCUUCCUUUGCUCAGCCUUUCUUAUGGUCCAGCUCUUGCAUCCAUAGGUUACUAUGGGGAAUACCAUUGCUUUGACUAUGCGGACCUUCAUUGCCAGUGUGAUGUCUCUACUCUUCCCUAUUUUAUCCUCAUAUAUUGCCAUAAUCUAUCCUGGCUAUUUUUUAUCAGUCAGAUCCCUUCGUCAGGUAUAUUGCAGACUUAACUCCUUCUUCUCCAGAACCGAUAACAUCUGUCUCCCUUAAUCCAUUUUGCCAGGCUUUUCUUCUCCCUCCGUCCUAUUCGGUUUCCAAAGAUUAUAUAAAACGGCCCACUGGAAACUGCAAAUCAUUUCCAUUCAAACUGAUUCAGGCCCAAGCCUAAUAUCUGUUGGGAAUCAUCCUGGACUACUCAAGUCUAGAUGUACUUAGAUAGAUGAUAGAGUUAGAUUGAGGGAAUCCUUUCCCUGUUUCCAAAGCAUGCCUAGACAGGCUUUACUGUGUUUCACUCUAUCCUGUUUAUGUCACAUCCCUUACUUUGAAGUUAGUAGAAAUGUGACUCUCCAGGGACACUAACUUCUCAUUGGUCAGACUGUCUUUUAUGGCCCCAAUAAACUGGACCAUGAGGCUGGAACCAUUUUGGUUCUUUCUUCUCCCUUUGUUCUUCAAGCUAACAAGUAGCAUCUUGCUGUCUCUCCUGGCAAGAUGUAACUAUUUAGAUGUUUGUUAUUUUUCCUUUCAUAUUUUUCCUUAGAAACCAGUCUAGAGUAGACUAGUCAGCUCCCAAGCCUUUCUAUCUACAAUGGAGUUCUUUUUACCUGAAUAAAUACUUUUUGAACUUUUACUGAGACUCUGCAGUCCAUUGCAAUCCUAAAUGGUCAAAGGCUUCUCUUGCUCACUCCGUGUAAAUAACUGUUGCAUUUGAAAGCUUUGCUUUUGCUACUCUGCUGAUUUUGGUGGAAUUUCCCCCAGAGAGGGUUAAAUUGAGUCUAACCGCUCAGAGAUUACCACAGCAAUAUCCACUGCAUUCACUGUAUCUAAUCAUUGAUAGUUGACAAAAUCAAGAGGCGCUAACCAGGCAGCAUUGCACACCUGCCACACAACCCCAUGAGUGCAAACAUGCAUGCUGCCUUCUGGAUGAAGAAUUUCUGCAGUUCCUUCACACUCCCCAAAUUCCUGAGGUGCAAGAAGUUUCAGGGAAAGCAUUUUCUUUUCCACUCAAUUUCCUUGUAAAGAGAGAGCACCAAAGGCGCACAGAGUUAGGGUUAAUAUCUUUUUAUUUACUGAAUUUGCUCGAGGCCAAACUGGAUGCGGAGCGUUGUUUACAUGCUGUGCUUUUGUAGUUAAUUAUCGGCUGGUAGGCUUCUGCUUGCUUUGUUGGGGGCGGGAGGAGAUGUUCCGUGGCACUCUCUAAUGUUUCAUGAUAUUGUACUUUUCAUUCCGCACUUCAUCAUUUCAUCUUGCAAGAUGCUCCGGGAAACAGCGCUUCUGGGCAGCCGAGUGGGAGGAGGGAGCAAAGGCGCUCUUAGCCUCAGAAAACCUCACGCCGGGGUCCCCCGGAGUCAGAAACAAUUCAGAGGCAACCAACAAUCAAACAAACAAAUGCGGUGCCAACGAAAUGGCGAGGAAAGCUGGUUAUUAAUAAAGAUUGUGAACAGUGGGGUAGUGGUGCCGUUUGAAGUGCAGAUUCUCAGCAUGAUCAUCCUUUAGCAACAGCUCCAUCCAUCUACCCAUAUAUUCCUUCACUGUACUUCACCUUUUCCUCAAAUGGGAACUCAAGGUGAUUUACAGAACAUGCAGAACUAUACUAAGAACAAUCUUUUUCCAUGUCAGGAGCGACUUGAGAAACUGCAAAUCGCUUCCACUGUGAGAGAAUUGGCUGUCUUCAAGGACACUGCCCAGAUGUUUUGAUGUUUUCACCAUCCUUAUGGGAGGCUUCUGUUCAGGAUUCUUCUUUUUCAGAAGAGGAAGGGGAGCAGGAAAGUGUUCAGGAAUUAGAGGGGGAGUUGGAAUCUGAGGAGGAGGUUUUGCAAGUACCCACAUUUCAGGAAAGGCAAAAGAAAACAGAGUAGAGACACCGUUCAGCUAGAAUAGCUGCCAGAAAGGCUAAAGUAAUUGGGAAGUGCCCUAGCACCUGCUGAGUGGGGGAACUCAGGGCAAUAAAUCAGAAGCAGGUGGAGUCACCUUUUGCUGGUAACAAACUGACUCUAAUGCCUAAGCCUUCGCUCCCCUUGUGCCUGCUUCAAGUCUGCAUUUGGAAAACUGCUCCUAAGGAAUUAUUGCUGCUUCUUUGUCUAAAGUAAGACUGCUGCCUGAUGUGGGAAUUUAUCAGAGACUUAAGAACUGUGUUUGCAUUAAGACUUCUUUUCUUUCUUUUGCAUUAUCCAACUGAGUGUGCUGUUCUUUACACUGCUGUAUUAAAGCAGUUUUCAUUUACUUACUAUGUUGUUUUAAGGCUAUUCUUGAGAGACAAAUCAGGACAGCUUCUCUCAUGUCCCCGCAUGAGGAUCCAGAGCUCUUCCCGGAUUUGAACUGGCAAUCGUCAAGUCAGCAGAUUUCUAUACUGUGGGCACAAUUCUAUACUAUGGUCAUAAAAUCCUAAAUUGGAAGACACCCCCAGGGCAAUCCAGUCCAACCCCUUUCUGCCUGACAGGAAGUCACCAUCCAAGCCCUCUGAACAGAUGCCCAUCAGCCUCUGAUUGAAACCUUCCAGACAAGGAGACUUCACUAGAUUCCCAGGGAGUUGCAUGUCCACUCCUGAACAGUUCUUACCGUUAGGAAGUUUGUCCUAAUCUUUAGGAAGAAUCUCUUUUCCUGCAGUUUUAAUCUUUUGCUCCAAGUCCUAGGACUACAUCCCACAGCUUAAGCAAAGCGUUUGGGAUUGUUGGUUUCCUUAAAGUUCGCAACACCCACCAUAAUGGAUGGUUUUCCUACCUCGUCACACCUUCUUUUCUCUGCUUUCUUUAGGAUUUAUCCAUUUGAUCUGCCACCACACGGUAGAGAUUUGUUUCCUCCCAUUGUCCCUCCAGGAUUUCAGUUAUUUAUCUUUCCAAAAAGGGAUCGUAGAAAGUGGUUUUCAAUUAACCCCGAUCCUUUCCCAAGCCCUUGCAUUGGGAUCGUCGGGGAAAUGGGCAUUUUGGCUCCUCUGACACAGGGCAUCACUGUUUAUUUACAAGCAGCCAACAGGAAUUAACAUCACACAAGGAAAUUGGUCAUUUUGCCCAUUGCUGCACAGGGAAUUUUAAAAUUGGUUGAUUGUCAACCGGUUUAGGAAUCGUCGGGGAAACCAAUGCUUUAGAAAUGGCAAAAUACUUCAACCCCACUAUUGAAGCUUGCAAUAUGCAAAGGGCACCAUGGGUUGCCACUUCUCAAAUGUGUAGAAAUGCUGAUUUGACUGCAUGAGAUGAAGGCCCCAAUCUCCAGAGAAGCAAAAAAUAAGCCUCAAUCUGUAGGGACCAUAAGCCAGAAAAAUAGUAAACUAUUGCCUAUAUAGCUUUGCCUGUGCAUAUGCCCCUCCCUUCCUGUGAGCUGGUGCCUUUCUCCAGGAAGUUCCAAAAGGGAGAAGAAAGCUCAGAGUAAACAAGUUAGGUCAUUGGUAUCCCUUGUGCCAAGUAGGUGUGGAAGGUGAUGAAGACCCUCAGCCAUUGGUCAAUUCUAGAUAAGCCAGAGGUAUAUAAUCUUUGUUUGCUACACACAUGUUGCGACGGCCAUUUGCAUGGUACGGACCCACUAAAGUGGGUGCCUACGGCUGUUUGCCUUAUCAUCAGCUGUGAUAACAAUAAAAGGCUUGUUUUAUUGCUUUCCUGGAAUUCUCUCCUUUACUUCCCCUCCGAGCUAGUCUCCAACAAAUACUUUUUUUAGGGCCCUUCCAGAAAGGACCUACAUCCCAGGAUCUGACCCCAGGUUUUCUGCUUUAAACUGGAUAAGUCCCCACUGCCAAGUAAUCUGGAUUAAAUCUGGAAGAGCCCUUAGAAUCAUAGAAUUGUAGAGUGAAUGAGACCCCUACAGGUAUCUAAUCCAAACCUAUUCUGCUGUGCAAGAAGACACAAUCCAAACCUUCCCAAGAGAAGGUCUUUCAGCCUCUGUUUGAAAGCCUCCGCUGGACUCCCAGGCAGCAUGUCUCCUGUCAAACCUCUCUUCUCCUUUGGACGUCCUUCCUAAUGUUUAGGGGCAAUCUCUUUUCCUGCAGUUUGAACCCUUUGCA
ensembl:lncRNA